CCACAGCAGCCCCUGCGAGAGGCAGCCGUCACCUUCAUGGGGAUGGCCGCCAAGUACCUGAGGGGACGGUACCAAGAGCUGCAGCUCAUCAUUGACACCCUUCAAGCCACGAGAGACGACAGGAGCCCUGCUGUUUCAAAGCUGGCAUUAGACACCAUCAGCCUUG